GAUGAACGCUAGCGGCAGGCUUAACACAUGCAAGUCGAGGGGUAUAUCACCUCGGUGAUAGAGACCGGCGCACGGGUGCGUAACGCGUAUGCAAUCUGCCUUUCACAAAGGGAUAGCCCAGAGAAAUUUGGAUUAAUACCUUAUAGUAUAUUGAUGUGGCAUCACAUUAUUAUUAAAGAUUUAUCGGUGAAAGAUGAGCAUGCGUCCCAUUAGCUAGAUGGUAAGGUAACGGCUUACCAUGGCGACGAUGGGUAGGGGUCCUGAGAGGGAGAUCCCCCACACUGGUACUGAGACACGGACCAGACUCCUACGGGAGGCAGCAGUGAGGAAUAUUGGACAAUGGGCGCAAGCCUGAUCCAGCCAUGCCGCGUGCAGGAUGACGGUCCUAUGGAUUGUAAACUGCUUUUAUACGGGAAGAAACCCUGGCUCGUGAGCCAGACUGACGGUACCGUAAGAAUAAGGAUCGGCUAACUCCGUGCCAGCCGCCGCCGUAAUAC
rnacentral:rRNA from 1 species